AAACACAAUUUAGAUGUAGCAGUGAGGUCUAAAGCAAGUUGUGCUUUGUAAAGAAAUCAAAGGAAGAAACUGAACGGUGCCUGAGUGGAAACAGUGAGGGAAUCAGUGUGUCUGGCAUUGACAUAAUACUGCGAAAUCAAUUCUUUGAUCAACUAUAAAGCAUAACAGCUGUGUGAAAGGUUUGCUGUGGUUAGCUGGCAUUAUCUCUUGUGCAAAGCCAAGUACAUUGUAAACCAGUAAAAAUUAACUGCUGGAGCACAAUGAUGUUUUUGUGACUGGGAAUCCAGAUAAAAUUAUGCUUCUGUUGGCAGAACGAUAAAAAGAGCUGCGGCCAUUUGCAUACAGGUGAGGAGGGGCGGCGAUGUCCCAUGGUCUGCAGAGUGCAGGGCACCACAGGUAUGCAAAGCAUUCAGCUGCAAGGGCUGUCUUUAAUUAAACUUUGUUUUCACCUGGUUAGUUAUGGAGUGGGAGGAAAUGGGCAGUACCGUGCGGAGUCAUUGGGUGGCAGCAGAGCAUUUACCACUUCCCAUGGUAUCCCAAUAGAAGAAAGGACUGCAGCUCUGCUUGGUUUUGAUGUAGGUGUCUGAAAGCAAGGCUUGAGCUCUGAAACGGUAUCUCAGCAUGACAUCUAUGGUGAGAGCCACCUCUCUUCGAGACAGAUUUCCCUCCAAAAGUUUUAACAUGUCUGCAUGUAUAAUGCAUACAAGUGUAGAUGCACAUGCAAGAACUGCCUCUGUGGGCUCUGCAGGUUGCAGCUGUAUGACAGUGAGGUGCUUUAAUGUGACUGCUGCCACUGCCAGUUACCAUAUUAAGAUCCUGUAUCCCUGGCAGUUCAAGCUUCUGAAGAUGUGUAGCGUGGUGGUCUUGUGAAUGAAGCCAUGUCAUAGUUCUAAAGGAUUUUUCUGCUGGAAGUGGUGGUGUGAAUGUGGCCAGCGUUAGCUAGUUAGCCAAAACUGCCCAUGCUUUUAUUAGUCGUGGCUCUUUGUAAGAAAGGUGUAAGAGGCAGGACAGUUAAUGUUUAUCAUUAGUGUUUAUCAGUGGCUGUGGGCAAUCUGGUCUAGAAGGAGGUGUCCCUGCCUAUAGCAGUGGGGUUGGAACUAGAUGGUCUUAGAGGUCCUUUCCAAACUGAACCAUUCCAUUAAUUUAAGGAAGGAGUUAAUCUCUCUGUACUUAUUCUACAAUUUAAACUUGUCUUUUGUUUUUUGUUUUUUUUUAACUUGGGUGUUGUGGACAGUGCUUGAAGGACUCGGAAAAUGCUGUCCUCUUUUGGAACGGAGUAUAUUCUUUGUGUAUUUUUUCAUUUCAAUUAAGAGAUUGAGAACUUAUUUUCAUUUGUUUUGUGUUGAUUCUGCACACCUCACGCUGUAGUUCAUGCCCAACAACGUGCUGUGGCCUCAGGGAGGAUGGAUGAAGUAAAUUUACUUCAUCCCUGCUGUUUUCUCUUACUAGCUUAAGUAAUCCACUUAUUAACCGGUGUGUCUACAAACCCCUGCCCUUUAACUUUACCUGCACGUGGAGCAAGAGUCUCCUCAUGCAGAGUUUCAUUAUUUAUUUCCAUGCUCUGUGGUUACCUUUAGCAGAAUGUUGUGAGGCAGAGCAGAAGUAAUAGGAAUUACAGUACUGAGGAUGAAGUAUGCAAACUCAUGACACCUCUUUGCCAUUGGCGCGUGUGCUGGGAGUGUGGUCAUCAGUGAGAACCUACCCGUUGGUUGAAAUCACGCAGAGAUUUCCAUCUGUAGAGGUUUAGUUUGGAGCCAUGUUGGGAUUGUGUCAGCCUACGAUCGUUAGGAGAUUUGGUUGGUAGGAAAUGAAAAGAGUGAUGAGAAUCCUGUUGGCUUUUUUCUGCAGUACACGUAGCAGGUGUUUUCCAUUUUUUCUCUUGUGUAAAGAUAAGGAGAGAGGGACGGACACUGGCAGAAGUUACAAGGCUUUCUGAGAUCUGUUACCAGUGUUACAGCACUGAUGCUUCGUGUCCUUGGAAGAUUGUGUUGCUUCUUUUUGAGGAAUCGGCUCUCUAAAUUUCAACUUUGCAGCCCUUCAGUUAAUUGAUAGUGUUUUUUUUUUUUAACGAAUUGCCUCUGGCUUUCAUUUUCUCCCCAUUCAGGGAUUUGUCAACCUGACUGCAGAAAAAACACAGUGCCUAUUGUCCUGUGCUUAUUUUACAUGCUGACAAUAGGAAACCUCUCUUUUUCCCACAAAUUUGCAAUGACAUUCUCCUUUAGGGGUUACUUCAAGAGGAUAACCACUAUUUCCUCCCAGUUUAAGCUUCCCAUGUGUCAGGGAUAUUUGAUCAUUUCCAGUAGAUGGAAAAAUGCGGUUUGCAGGCUGAGAAUUGCCCGUGUACUUCUGCAGGCUGUUGUGAGGGAUGCUAUCUUAUGGUGAAUUUCUAGGAGAUGAAACCACUGUGUUUAACAAAAUAGCAUGAGGAUCUGUAAAAGAAGCUCUUCUUGGUGUCUGAAGUUCCUACAGCUUUAGUGGCUGCAACAAAAGGUCAGAUCUGCUAGCAGCUAUAGGAGGAAUUGCUGGAGGUUCCCUUGCAUCUGCCUUGGAUUCAACUGAAUUGCAUCCAAACCCCACAGGUUUCAAAGAAUAAUGCUGGGCUCGUUGACUUGCUUGCUUUAACAAAAGAUCAAUUUAGCUAGAAAGCUUUGGACUAAUUAAGAAAGUCUUUACACAGUUCUUUGAGUAAAGAGGAAAGAGGAUACUGUCAUUUUGAAGAAUGCCAACCUAAUGCAUCAAAGUAGUCAUGCAUUUUGGUGGCACUUUAAGAUAGGUUGGUCAUUAGGAAAAAUUUCUUCUUGGAAAUAGUGGUGGUGCAUUGGAAUAAGCUGCCUAGGGAGGUGGUGGAGUCACUGUGCCUGAAGGUGUUCCACAACUGUGGAGGUGUGGUAUGAAUGAACCUGGUCAGUGGAUGUGGGGGGCAUGGGUUGGUGGUCAGACAGGGUGAUGUUGGAGGUCUUUUUUGCCCUUAAUGAUUCUAUGAAAUGCAGUUAUAUCAAAUACAGAAGCGUUGUCUCUAUUUUUGGAAGCAGAGCAAUAUACUUGUGACCAUCUGAGCACCAUUGGCAUCUGGUGGUUUGAGGUCCCUUGGUGUUCCAGUAUAAGUACUGUUCUUACGGUGGGAGUGAUUCCCCAGUAAAACUGCAGUGUAAAAAUGGUAGAGUAGUUCACUUGGAGCCUACACUAAACAGGAGCUAUAGUGCUGGCAAGUGGUGGUACGGAUACCUCAGCUACUGAGCACGAGCAGGCAGAAAUCCAUAGAGUUGCACUAAUACUGUGAAUUCUGCUGUAAUACUAUCUAGGAAAUUUCAGAUAAAUUCUGAUCAUAGAAGCUUUGAGAAGUGCUUACACAGCUCUUUCUUCAGCACAUUGAAUGUUCUUGUUCAAGCCCAGACGCAUUACCCUCAGUUAGUGGUAAAUUAGGUUCUUGAGAUGGGCCAAUGACAAAUCGGGUUUUUAUGCCUCUUUUCCAGUGUACCGCAGACCUUUGGAAUUUCAUGUGGUCUUCUAUAAAAGGAAAUUAAUGAUUAUGUAUUAUUCAUAAAAUAAUGUUUCCAUCAUUUUGUCCGUUUCCUCUCCAUAAAUUCACCAGCAGAGGGCUGAAGGAUUUACCACCUACUUCAUUUAGUUUAGAUUCAUGGAUACGCUGCUUAAACUUCCCUCCUGAAAGAAAAUGUUCCUGCCAGGUUUAACCAUAGAUGUAAAAUACUCUGUGCUGUCUGAGUGCAUGACAUAUGCUGCAUGCCAUACUAAGCUGGGAGGCAUGCCCUCUCCAUGGCUUAGUAAUGUUCAUGACAAAAACUUCAGAUGUCACUUUCCAAGCAUUUUGAAACAUUAUUGUCUUAUUUCAGAGCUGCUUAGUGGAUGUCAUUCUGUAAUGUGCAGUUUUGAGCUAUUUAUCUCUGCCUGGUCUGCAUGAGGGAGAUGGUUAGAUAAGGUGAUUGUAGUGGUCAGUCUCGAUCUGAAACUGAUGCGUCUUUCUACAGCAGCCUUGGCUGAGAGCUCAGUGCACGCUCAGGAAAGUGCUUCCACUCUCCUUGUAGCAUGCCCUACUGAGUUGGGUUAAAAGCAGGACUUCAUGUUUAGAGAACAUAGCCAAAGGUGGAAACUUGAGCUUCAUGGGAAAGAAAACAGAUCGUUUUGGCAUCUUGGAAUGGGCUAGUUCCUGCAAUAACCCAACACAUUUUUCCUAAAUAGAAGACUGGGAAUCUGAGUUCCUCCGUUCUUAAGUGGUAGAAAUUCAUUCACUGCUCUGCAGAAUUUGUGGUUAAGUUGCUUUUGAGCUGUUCUGCAGGAAAAUGAAAGUAUUUCUUGAUCCUAAGUCCACUGAAGAGUCUGAAAGAUUUCCACUGGUUUCGGUGGCCUUUGGUCAGACAUGUGAUGUAUUAUGAAAAUAGCAGAGAAUGUCACUGUGGUUUUUUUGACCCUAUAAGCAGAUUGGCAACAUACCUAGAACCAAACUUUUCAUAUUUUCCAAGUGCUUUGCUGUUAAGAAAAUUAAGUAAAACGUUGCUAUAAAAUUUUCAGUUACUAAUAUUUAGAUGAACAUGCUCAGAGACCAUUUUGAUGGUUUUCAGAGUGUUGUCUUGAGUCUUUUGGGUUCUUCUGUAACCAAAUGUGAUCUUCUAGGCCACUUUUGCCAAUGGAAUGUUUUCCUAAUUGUAUCCAGGCGGCUCGGUGUAGAGAAGGAGUGACUGUGAGCAGGAAUAAAUCACUGCUAAGUACCCUGAAAAGAUAAAUGAGCAAGACUUGAACAAAAACAAACUCACCACCAUGCCUUAUUAUGUCUGAGGUGCCUAGAAUAAAGUGCGAUUGCAUUUUGCGUUAUAAGCUCUGUUUGAAAUGACUGUUCUGUCAAAAGAAUUAGCAGCUUAGAUUCCGUCGCAUUUUGCAUGUUUGUUAUGUGCUUUCCAAGAGUUUCUUUUGUAAAGAUGGAUAAAUAUUGGCUAAUAUCACUUUGGAAAGUACUUAAGAAGAAACUGCUUUUGCCCUAGAUAUUCUCUACUUUUUAUGGUAGUGACUGGGAGGGUGCUUAAGAGCCAAGCUGUGUUGUCCCAAAGAAUCUGUAAUUUAAGAAGACGGUGUGAGAAAUAGUAUACUAACAGUAAGAUGAAUAUUUUAUUUUUUGAGAUGUAGUAUCUUCUAGGGGAAGCUAGAAGGGAAAGGCACUGAGCUAUCUCUGGGCAGUUAACUUUCCAAUGAGAGGUGUAUGGUGUGUUUGAAUAACUAUGUGUGUAUGAACAUGCAUGUUAAUAGCAGAUUUCUGUUCAUGUGCGCUUUGCUAGUAGUUGCUUGGUGAGCGUACCUGCAUGGAUAUUUAGCAACAUUCUGAUUGUUGUACUAGGUUGUUAUUUUUGCCCUGGGAAAGCCAUGGAAGGGUGUCUGAGAAGCAUGCUUUCUGGAAACUGAUUUUCUGCAGCGUAUGGUACCUAUUUGGUGCUUGCGUGCAAGCUGAGAGGCUGCCCCAGUGGUAGCUAUUGCAAGGCUCCAGCAUGGUCAAUGGAGGAACAUCUUAUAGUUUGAGGGAGUGCCCUGACAUGGUGUAAGACAGUGGAAUGCUUUAUGGUCGUACAUUGACACAAAGAUUAUCAAGCUAGCUUAGUUUUUUGUAUGUCAUUGAGUUCAGCAACAACUUGAGUUUUAGGGAUACCCUCCCAGAGAGAAGCCGUAUUUAUUGUCUCUGUCUUCACAGACGCAUCAUGUCCUGGUCAAGAUUCACUAUUCAGAAGUUAAGUUUGGAUGUAAGUGUUCAUGUUUACCGUAUCUUAAAAUUGCUAUAGUCUGACUUUCUCAAAGCUUUGAUUAGUCUCUUCAGCCCUUGAUGGGGGGAAAGAACAGCUAAGUUGGGAACUCGCUUGGCUUUCUAAAACUAAAGCACACAAGGGCCUCUUCUACAGUAGCUGUCCCUUCUAAAAUGCUCUGUGGUGGAUUGAAAUGCUGGAUUUUUCUCUGAAGAUUGGAGAUGACUCUGGAGUGUUUUUUCUCUUAAUUUAACCAGGAAAGCAAAUUUUCAUUAAUAAAGCUACCUCUACUGUUUCACUGCAAUCUUACCUUAAGGAAAUGUUUGAACGUUAAGCGUUUUACCCACAUCAGUGAAACAACGUAGAUUUCCCUGCCAAAAAUCACGUUCGCAUAUCAUCCUUGCUGCUGUAGCUGCAAGGUGAAGUCUGGAAUUUUUCCAGUAGCCCACCUGCCAAUUCGCCAUCAUUGAUCAUCACCAGGAGUCACUUGAGUUGUCUGAUGUAUAGCAAAGUAUGUUUUUGGCUGCGUGUGAUGUGUGAGCUGUUUUAGGUCCUGGGGACCUGCUUUAACUGUCUUAUGAAAGGCUGUUCUGCAAAACAGGUUGUAGUUUGCUGAGAGAUGGUUCCUAUGUUAUAAUGAAGUAGCGGUGCACUGUUCAGGUGUUGCAUGUGUGAUAGGGAAAUGAGCUUGCUCAGAAUCACAGAAUUGAAGGGUUUGGAAGGAACCGUAAGAGAUCCUAAGUCCAAACCCUCUGCCAAAGUGGGUCCCUUACAGCUGACCACACAGGUAGGAAUCCAGAUGGAUUUUGAAUUUCUCCAUAGAAGGAGACUCCACAACCUCUCUGGGCAACCUGUUCCAGUGCUCCAUCACCCUUAACCGUAAAGAAAUUAUUCUGUAUGUUAGUAAGGAACUUCCUGUGUUCAAGUUUUAGGCCAUUACUCUUUGUCCUAUUGCUGUGUACCACUGAGAAGAGUCUAGCCUCAUCCAUUUGCCUCCCACCUCCCAUCAGGUAUUUAUAAACAUUAAUUAGAUCCCUCCCUCAGUUUUCAGUUUCCCCAGGCUGAACAGACCCAGGUUACUCAGCCUUUCCUCAUCUGGGAGAUGCUUCAGGCCCUUUAUCAUCUUUGUGGCCCUCUGCUGGACCUAAUCUGAUUACUUGGCGUUCAGUGAAAGCUCAGCUAUUGAAAUCAACGAGAAGGGACACAUGCCCAGUGUUCUUUUGACUUGAUAUUCAACUCUUAGUGUCUUUAGAGCUGCGUUUUCUGCUAAGAAAGGUAUUGUGAGAUUAUAGUAAAUGCAUGCAACUCCUAAUCCUUGGGGUUAAGUGGGGGAAAAAUUUAAAACGAAGUCUACGUGAGGAUCUUCUGCUGGGGGGGAGAAGUAAUCGUAUUUUUGUGAAAUGAAGAUACCUCAUAACAUUUAGUCCCUUAGUUUACUAGUUAGAGAUGGCUGUGAGAACUUGUUACGCCGUGAUUAUGCACAGGAUGCUGCAAAUGGCUCUGGGUGCUGAUAGGAAUUCAUUUCCGAGACUCAGAUUUAAUCACUGGUGAGAUCUUCCUGUAACAGUCAAGCACGUAGCCUCAGCCUCACAUCUUGCGUUAAUGCCUUGUUUAAGCAGUCUAGCUAGUCAGCUAAGGUAUAAAACCCAGAAGGAAUCAGAAAAUCCCAAUUUGAUUGAUCUUGGUAUUUUAUGAUCUUUUGAUUUAGCGACUCUUGUUUCAUUUUGAGUUCAUUUUUCAGUUCUGCAUUGUUAGGAUUACAUAGGCCAUAUAAGAAUUUGUUUAAAGAUCAGUUUUAUUGGGAGUAAAAUAAAAGCUGGAAAUCUUCCUGUUAUUCUAAGGCAUUAUAACAGCUUGUUUGUACAAAGUCUAAAUUUGGAGCCAAAUUUUACUUGUCCUUUACAGCAAUAAUAACCUCAGAACCCUGCUAAUAAAUGCUGGAAGGUUUGUCAGUGCUCAAACGAAUCUGAAGAUAUUUUGAUUAUUUGCCAUACUUAGUCUUUACGUCGGUGGGUUUUGAACUAGAACAGGUGGGUCUGCAUUUUCCUGCCCUAAGUAGCUGAUCAUAUAUUACUAGGUGUUUGACAGCUGUCCUUAUCGUUCUUAGCUGCCCAUACUUUCUCAACACUUUCAUGAUCUAUUAAUCAUUUAUUAACCCUUUAUAAACCAUUUAUAAAUGUACCCUGAAUAAGAAAAAAAAAGUGCAACCAUUCAAUUUCUUCCUCGAGUUUAAUAUUAAAGGCAAGUCCAAGGUCAUGAUGGGCAGAGGGAGGCUUUAGGGAGCCGGUGUAGUUUAUAUUUUGGCCAGUCAACUGAGGAACCACGUGCAUCUAAGAUCAGUAAAGUGUGUGCAGUGGAGAAAGUUCACACGGUGUAAUGCGCUGCAGGCAGUAUUAGCGUUGAUUUACCCAAUCUGUUAAUGGUAUGGUCUGUCUAGACCUUUGGAACAUUCCUUAGCUCCUUAUUUAAUGUAGGAGGAAUCAUUUCUGAAAUUAGCAUAUAAAUUGUCUGGAGUCAGCAGCCCUUUAAAACAGCAUUUCACCCUUGUGUCUAGGCACGAUCACUUGUUUUAAAAAGUACUGAUAUGAGGGCAUAAACUGAGAAAAUUCAUUCAGUUUAAAAAGGGGAAAUGGUCAGGAUUUGAUUUGGUAGGUUAUAUUUGUUCAGCAAUGUUAAUAAGGGGAAGUGUAUGAUGAUAAGGAAACAUCUGGCAAGCUCUAUUCGUGUAGAAGGUUUACACUUAUGUAACUGAAACUGGAGGGCUUUCCUGAUUUUUUUUUUUUUUUUUUUGACAUAUCAUUCUCUUCAUUCCUUGGUCUUCCGUGUAACCUGUAAAUAAGCCAUACAGUGUGCUGUGUUCAUCUGAGGGCUCAGUCCAGCUGAACGAGCCUGGUGCUCAGUGUUGGGAUGCUGCAGGGGGGAGGCACGAGGAACCUGCUGGAGGGAACCCUCCUCCCCAGCUCCGGUUUCUUUCCAGGCACUUCUGAGGUCUACGCUUGUUUGCUCUUCAGUUGCCAGGGGUAAUGUACAGUGCCCCAUUCUGAGGUUAUCAGUUGCAAAGGAAGGUAACGUAACGUGUAUUCACCUUGAGAAUUAUGCAGGAAUUGUAAACUUGCAUUUGGAAAGAGUGCGUUUCUAUAUGGAGACAGAAAAUAAAUGACGAUACAGUCCAGUAGGUUUAGCUGGCAUGAAUCUGAAAUGACCACACUGAGCAGUGAAGCCAACAAAAUCUUUGUAGUACAAAAUCAUGUGUUCUGAACAUGCCGUGUACUUACAGAAAAACUAUUCCUGGAAUGUUGCUAGAGAGUUUUAUAUGUUUAUUUGGAACUUACUUCUCAUCUCCCUUGCUCCAAAAGCCAGGUGCUUUAAUCACAGUGAAAUUGACAGCCCUGGUCACAGAGAAAUAGGGCUGGAAAUUAAUGCGAUUACAGAUAAUCUAAAACAGCACUUUUAUAUAAAACUGAAGAAAACAUCCUAACUUAAAAUUGUUAUUACCUCAAGCGUUAAACACUGAAUUUGUUACCAAAACUGCUUUACUGGAAAGCUAUUUCCAUUCUAGAAAGGCUUGGCUUGUGGCCAGGGAAGUCUUCAAGAUACUGGAUCUGAAAUUUGUUAUGGUCUCAGCAUCCAUCCCGUGUGCUACCCACGUCCUAUGAAGAGAGCAUGUUUGAGAAGGAAAGAAAAGGCCAAGAUUCCUUGAAACAAAACAAGCUGCUUACCUGAUGCUAGAGUAAGGUACGAGGAGAGUUAUUUUUGUAAGCUCUUCAUCCCAUCUUCUCUUCAAGUACCUUUCAAACUACCUUGUACAUAGGCAGCCCCAGUGACCUUCCAAUUGUGAAGUCACGUUUGAGCUUCUAUUACUUUUUAUUUGAGGAUCUCAGAACACUGUAGGUGUGUGCAUUUGAAGGGUUCAUGGCUAGGGCGGCCGCACGUAGGAGUUCUACUGAGUGCAGAGCUACGUGCGGUGGGCAGGUGCUGUGCUCUGUUAGUACUCUGCCUGGAACAGCCAGGCCUUGGCUGCUGUCUGUGGGCCAUUGCUUGAUGCUAAACAACAAUUGCAAGAGCAAUGUGACAGUGUUCCUGCCUGAGUGAGCGACAGCAGUUAUUUAGUGACCGUGAACUUAGCAACCCAAGAACUGCGUUUAUUUCACAGUCUUUAGAGAGUGUCUGAUCCAACGAUAACCGUGUGCGAAGUGUCAGAAUGUCCUGGAUGAAUCAGAGCAGGCCACUGUUAGCACAAACGUGAGGCUGGCCACGGUGCUGCUGGGCAGGCACAAAUGGAGUGAGGUGCUGGGAGUUGUCAGCAUGCUGCGCUGUGAGCCAACUGCGCCUUGGCCGUGGGGCUCCCAGGCUUCCUUGGAGGGCUGCGUAGGCCUAACCUGUUGUGAUUUUGGAGUUACUUUGCAGGGAGCGCUUUAAAAUGUUGGAUUCCCCCCCCCCCCCUUAGUGCUCAAUUUAAUUGGAAUUAUGGUGCCCAUCAAAAAGUAUUACUGCAAGGUGACCUGGAAAUAAUCAUUUCCUUUCAUCUAUAGCAAACAUUUGUAGGUCGUUAAAAUGUCACAAAUAAAUAAAGUCUUAUUCACAAAGAAAUGGCUUUAUGCGAGCCUAGUAAAAUAUGAGAUUUCAUUAUGUACAAAAAGGCUGUGUGUUGUAUUCCUGGUUCACAAAGCAAACGUCCAACACAUGUGGAAUGCACGGCAGGAUGUCGGACCCUCUAAGGGUUGUAUACAGAUAUAUGAAGGGGAAGAGAGGAAGAAAAAACACUUGUGGGUCUGAGGAAACGACCCCUUCCAGUAACAAAUGGAGCAUGUGCUCUGGGUCUCUGGGAGGAUUUGUGUGGGGAUCUUGCUCUCCAUGUGCGCGCAUUCCUCUGAAUCAGACAGGUGUUAAAGUGAAAUGGUGCCCAGAGGACGCAGCACCCUACUGCUAUCAGCAGCCUGACCACAUGACAGAUCCAAGAGCAGCCAAGCACAACUGCCAUGGGGCUUGCCAAGGGCUUAGAUGCUGAAUGCUGAGUGAGAUAUCCGUGCCAGUUUGGCACCUCUGGGCCGUGUGGCUGUUCCCAGCGUGGGGUCGUCAUUGUAACAUACUGGGGAGAGUGGAACCUGAAGCUGUCCUCGUAGUUCCUGCCAAGUGAAGAUAAAUUAUUGUUGUGAAUAUAAAAUAUUAAUUACCUUGCAAGUGUGCUUGGGAGGCUGUGCGUGGCUCUGGCAUCUCUCCAGACAUGCUGUGGUGAAAUCAGAGGAUUGCCUCCUGGCACUGGGGUCUGUUUUGCAGUCGUCCGUCCCCCCCCCCCCGCCCCCCUCCUGGCAUCACACUGGAAAUGAGUAAGAGGAACACUGUUUGAAAACAACUGACAUCUGGGGAAAGAUGUUCAUUGGCUUCUGGGAUUUAGACCAGUCCCUGAGCUGGUGCCUUUAGCAGUGGAUUUAACCAAUGCUGUAAUCUUUUGGCACCUGUUGCAGUUUUUUUGGCAGUGGUAUAGGACUGCUUUGAUUGCACUAUGACCAGAGUAGUGAGCAUAUGUCUGAUGCCCACCCUAGAAAGAGCAACUUAGUGCCCUUAAUGCCUUUCCCAUUGUUUUUCUUCUACUUUCUCUUAUUUGUCAAGCUGCUGUUAGUAAUUACUGUUACAUGCAGACAAGCAUCUAUCAGCAUCUCCGCAGCUAACAAACGAAGGACAAAGCGAGAGGAGGACAGGAAUUAGCAGAGCUCUGUGUUGUCAGAGGCCAGCUGCUUUUUGCAUUUGAUUUGGAAUUGUUUAUCUGGCCCUUGGUUUUAAGAAGUGUGGUAAGCAGAGGACUCCAGGCAAAGCGAUACAUCCCAGUGCCUGAGAUGUAAUCAGGAGAUGAGUAUUUGGGUUUAUAAGUAUGUUAAACAAAAUAACCAAAUAUGUAUCUUCAGGAAGAGAAUUCAGCGGACCCAUUAAAGGAAGUCUCUGCCUACAUGUCUCUGCACUGAUUGUACAUCUGUAAAUGGCCGCCGUCCAGCAAAGCUCUUAAGUGCAUGCUUAACUCUCAGCAUGGCUUGGCUACAGCAAUGUUACUAACUUUGGCAUGUGAGCUUUUAUGCAUUUGGGGCAUUCACAUGCCUAAUGCUAAGCGCAUGCUUAUGUGCCUUUCUGGAAACUAACUCUUCCUUGUGCCCUACAGGCCGGCAGCCUGGAGCAUGAGUCUAGUUUCCACCUCAGUUUCCUGCUCCUGGAAGAGGGUAUUGAGGAAUAGGGCUGCACAUCCGUAUGGAUGUCACUGAAAUGCAGAGGUACAGGCCUCUGAAUCUUGCUGAUGCUGCAUGUAUUUCACCUUUUCUGGUGCCUUAGAAUCAGUCCUUGGGCUCCCAGGGAUCUCUAGAAUGUAGUGUGAGGUUCCCUAAUCAAAAUGUCUUGGUUUUCUGAAGGAGGCUGUGAGCCUCUGCAGUCGCUAGGGGCUGUUCAUUAAACUCUGAUGGACCUAUAGCCUGGACUGGUAGAUUGAGUAGUUGUAGUGAGGUUGUCCGUAAAGGUUCCCGCUGCUGUAAAUCAGUGCAUCUUAAACACAAUUCCUGUACAGCCUGCGCAGAACUCAGUGUUUUGUUGAACAGGAUUUCUCAUUUGACCCAUGUGGAAGAGCCAGCGGGGAACUGGCACACGCAGGUGUCACACAGUCCAUAUUGCACUGCAGCUUUGUGUGUCAUUAAUGUCGGGCAGUCUGAGAGGUGUACGUUACAAUUCACCAUUGCAUUUGCUGCCUUGUGAAAAGCCAAUCUUGAGAACUGGGUUGUCACGUUGGAAGCAAAAGUCCUCAGAUGCUUAUAGCAGUUCCUGUUGUAACAACUCAGCUUUGCUGUUCUAGGACAAUGAAGGAUUUUAUGCUUCCUGUCUACUUGCAGACUGCAGGUGAGAAGAAUAUCAGCAAAGGCAGCCCAAAUGCUAAAUCUCCUAGAUAUUGAACAAUGAAAAGUUAAUUGAAUAUACUGCGAUAGUCACAGUUCAUGGAUCUCAUUGGGUACCUCUGUAUUUUAGGUUUUAUUAAAAACAAAAAGAAAGGCAAAAGAAAAACUCCCAUCAGUAACAAACUAACAAACAACCGCAUCGAUAAGUAAAGUCCAAGCAAGCAAUUCCAGCAAACUAUUCUAGUGUGCACAGUUCAGAGUCUGCUUGGACAUUUCACGAUCUGCCAUCUGCACCAGAAAGUUGCUGAAUGAGUAAUGGUAGGUUGGUUAUUGUUGUUUUUUGUUCUUGGUUUUUUUUUUUUUUACCUUCACCAAAGCCUGUUUGUGCUGCAGACGGCUUUGUUAUUUGUAGUCAUUUAUUUUAGAUAAGUUAAUUUUUGGACUUCAUAAAAAACCUGAAUGGGAGAAAAACAUCCUGUUGUGAGAGAGUUCUUAUCUGCUGCAUUGAAAAAAGUUGAAAAUGGCUUUCUGAACAGUCCAAAGGAGUUCAUUUGAGGGCUAAGACCCAAAUGCGAGUUUGAAAAGCACUUCAAAAUAUCUUUGUCUAGCUUUCUGCCCCUGGAGGAGGAAAAGAGAAAUUUAGCAAGCACCACAUGUUACAGAUGCUGCUCAAGAUGCUUAACACGUUACUUAAAGCUGUUCUGUAACCAUUAUGUUGUGAGUAAUAAGAGGAUGUGAAUGGGAUGGAAGAGGAAGAGUCCAGGUUUGCUGUAACCACAGCUGUAGCCUCACCCCUUGCAUGUUGUCAAGGGGUCAGCUUGCUUCUGCUGGUUCCUGCAGCAUUACUGAGUGUACCUCUGCAGCACGAGGCGAUACCUGAUUGGGCUUACCUCCGGGUGAGCUGGCACGUCUGCAGUGAGUGGGUUACCACACAGGGAUACCAGCUUUAGUGCCAGAAACAGCGAAGCUCUGUUACUGCCAUACGUAGUUAAUUAGCUCGGGUGUCACAUGGAGCGAACGCUGCUAUAUUGCUGCUGGUUCUGCUGCUACGGUAAUUGACGCUGGCUUGGGGAUCUUUGCCCCAAUGCGCAGCGCAGACAUACCCAGGAAUGCACUCCUAUUGUUGACUGAAUACUGUAUUUUCUCAUAAAUGUGGCAGGAGUAUAAUUGCAGGGUGGAAAAAGAAGGGCAAUAUACAUUCACUUCACUUUAGAAACUAAAUUAAACCUUUCACUUAACUCACUUCUCUACCAGCUCCCUGCGGGCAUUUCUACAAGCUUCAUUAGAGCCAACCUCGAGGCCAUGGAAAAGGUCUCACAAAAGCCCAGCUAGGAAGCCAGUCACAGCCCCAGAUCCUGCUGCUGCACGGCACAAUCCGCCUCUUGGCUCCUCGGGCCUGCAGCUGCCAGGCACUCUCCUUAUGUGGUCACUGGUGUUGGCUCGCAGGCUGCAGCAGAUAGACGAGGAGGGCUGAGGGGGAACACAUUCAUCACUGCCAGAGAGAGCGGGGGCAGUGCCAAGUCGCUAUGUAACUAAGCACAUGUGCCAAUUUGCUCGGUAAUUGGAUUGCUAUUUGAAAAAUUAAAGCGGUGUCUAGAAAAUUCGAACCUUUGCGUUCACGCAGUCUGAAGCUCGCAGCCGAGGGCCUGCACGGGAAGAAUAAAGGUGACCAGACGUAGGUGUUUAGGAGAGCGAGCGUAGGAAGCGACGUGAUUGCUUUCAGAAGCGUUCCCCCAGCCUCACAAGCAGCCGCUCUGCAGAGAGACAAAGAGCAAGGCACAGCACAGGGGAAGCUGUGAUGUUAUGGACAAGCUGUAACCCAUUGCUUACUAAGGAAAAUUAGCACAGGCUCGUCAGCUGAAAGUAAUUCCUGUAAAGAAAACAUAUCAUUAGAGGGAAGGGUUUGAUGUACUUGCUGUAAGUUUUUUUUUUUUUGCUGAAGAGGGGGAAAAAAAGCUGCUAAUGGACAUUACAGUACUUUUUGUUUUCUUCCCAGCCUGCAAAUCUGUUGCUUUUCUAUUGCAUACCUUAUUCCUAAAUGCCUUUGCUGGGCAAAGCCUAUGUGCUAAUGUCAAAAACUAAUUACAUUGAAUUAUCCAGCCACGGAAUUUCUCAUUAAAGGUACGUCUGUGCUACAGAGCUGUUUCUGCUCCCCCCUGAAAUCAAGUUCAGGCCUCGCUUUGACUUCAGCAGAAGCCCAAUGACAUCCAAAAAUGUAGCUACCUAAAUAGUCCUUCAGGCGUUUCGUUAUUCUUUGCAGUUGAGCUCUCCGGCCACCCUUAUUCAGCUAAAAAAUUUAAGCGUGUGGAUACAAUGGGUUAUAAAUUGUUCCUAAGAUAAUAUUUGUAGUUUAAAGUAUAACCCGGUUGCUCGUAGACGUAUAAAAGCAGCGCCUGUGUUCUUCAUCACUGCUCAGCGGAAACUCAGGCUGGAAGCCUUGCAUUUAAAAUAAUAGAAAGUAGAAAUCGAUGGGCCCAUACUGAGGAAGAACUAUUUGGAAGCUCUGCGAAACGUCUGAUUAUUUCUCAUGCGCUCAGUCCCGGUAGAAUGAGGUUAACACAUGUCAAAGUGGAGGCUCAGGAAAUUUUGGGUCACAUUUCUGCCCCUAGAUGGAGUCUUCUGCACACUGGUAUUUUUGAUAUUUGGGGAGAGAAUGGAGCUGUGUGUUGGAAGCCUUGAAAUGCCUCUUGUUCUGAAUUCCUUUUACAGCGUAUCAAGUGCUGCCCAUUGGGACGGGGGUAACUGGGACCCGGAGACCAUUUAGAAGAGAAAAAUCAAAAUAGGGUUUGUUUGUAUAAUUGGUUGGAUGCUAUAUGGGGCACUGCAAUUUCUCAGUGUCUCUUAUUUGUUGGUUGGCGAUAGAUACCUGGGUAGUAAGGCAGAAGUCUGUGUUUUAUAGAGCACUGCUCAUUACUAUGAAACGUCUGAAAUUUGCAGCUCGCAGUGCUUAGCAUUUCUGUGACUUUCGUGGUAGUCCCUUCUCUUAGUAUCCAGUGAAUGCCAUGGUAACGUUACCGUCUUGUAAAACAUUUUAAUAGUGACCACUGUAAUAUAGUGGUUGUGUGCAAACAGCGUGCGCCGUUGCUUCAGAGGUGUUUGUAGCAUUUUGUUUUUGUCACAAUCGCAGCAAAACGUUGCCAGAUCUUGAGAACCGAAUCCUAAACUUGCCAAACACGGAGCUGAAAGUGAGUUCUCUUCUGCAGCUUCUGCCUUUGAUCAUCUGCAGUUUCAUUGAUACAUUCCUACCCAGCACUCACGAGCUUAGUGAACCAUGGCUCUAGCGAGCGCAGUUGCUUGGGAAAAGCAUUUGGCUGCAGACGCCGUGUUGGAGGGGGGAGGUGGGUGUUUUCCAAAGCCAGCUUUGGAAAAAUCUGUGUUGUUUUAUGUGUGAGCGAGAGCUCAGCUGCGGGCCCGCAGCUCAGGUAUGUUUGCAGGCGGCUUCUGGUUCCGCCUCUGCAACAGGAGGGGGACCAGCUGCAGGGUUUGUCCUUGGGCCGGGAGCUGGAUUCCUGCAGGAUCCGGGAUUUUGCUUUGGACCUUUUCAAAUGCGAUGUAAAUGCCAGCAGCUUCCUAACAACUGUUCGCGGAGCUCUGAGCAGAAUUUACAGUGGACUCUUGUGAGAGAGAAGAGAAUGGAAAAGCUCAACAAAACCUCUGUCAUCUGAGCGGAGUCCUGAGAAAUGCUUUCCAGCUUUCAAAGAAAGAAAGGGUCUUAAUUCAGAUUUGCCGGAAUUGUCUAAUUAGUCCCUUUAAUGCCGUGCACCUUAUAGUCUGUGCCGCCAGCUUCGUCCUAUAAAUGAGACGAUGGGCUAAUUCAUCUUGGCAGCAGUAAACAGACCUUGUGAUUGUCCUCCUCACAAACACCGGCCUGCUUUUAGGAGAGCGCUUUGACCAAGCCCGCGUCCUCGCUCCCUCUGCUGUGCCCCCCCUGUUCUGAGCGCUGCCUCUGCUCCGCGCUCUCCUCCUUCCCCACCGACCCACCCCACCCCGUCUCGCACACAGUGACAUACCUCACACAUUUGCCACUGCUAACAACAACCUGUCAACUCUUUCUUUGCACCGUGCUAGGCGCCCUUUGUUUCUGCAGCCCAGCAAGCCUUGCAGCUGUUGUCCGAGGCCUGCUCCGACAGCCUGUGAUCAGUCAGCUGCAAAAUCCUCCCUGAACAACUCGGUAUUCACAGCUCUAAUCGGGCCAGCGGACUGUUUCCUCCUCUCUCGCAGUAAAUCUUUAUCACUUGCGCUCUGCUCGUCAGUUCGUGGCGCCAGCUCUUUGGGCUGCUCCAUCCCUUUCCCAUACUCUGCUGUGCCGUGUGCUCUGAAUGCUAACUCCAGCCUCGUUUAGGCUCGGUGCUGUGAUCCACAUGUGGGGAAGGUUGAAUUCCUGCUCCUUCCCCAUCUUCUAAGCUGCACGUACCGCAAGUUUAUCUCUCUCCAAAUGCAAAGAUACCCAAAGGCUCCCUCCCUCCGCCUGUUUCAUAUUGUAUCCUUAUAAGUUAAUUACGUGAUUAUCUUUCCAGCAGCCGGUUGUGCUUCUGUUUAAGAGCUGCCUUUGGUAGGAAGAGCAGGGUGAGUGCCCAGCCUGGGGGAGCUGGUGGUGGCAAGGGAAGCCCUGGGGAAACUGGCACAGGCUUUAAUUUGACCGCAUGCCCAGGGCUAUUAACCUUCCUCUUAAUGGUUCCCCCAUGGACGGAAACACAUUGCCCUCCAUCUUGUCCCUCAGCUGAUGCCAUCUCGGUCUUUUAAAAGAUUUACAUCAAAGACGCUGAAUUGUGAAGCAGGUUUUUAGAAAAGGGAUUAAAGUUUACUUUAUUGGUAUCCCAGCUGAGCGGAGGGGGAUCUGUACAGCUUUUAGGAUGAGGUUUGUGCCAGUGUGGGGUUGCUGAGGAUCUGAAAGCACAACUGUAUCUGUGUCCAUUGCUGCUUCUGCUACAACAUGACAGCUCCUCCUGCCUCCUCUGGCAAAAUGCUGUGGGUUCUGUUUUCCCCUGUGCUGUGCUUGGGCAUGGGACCUGAGAUAACAGAGAGUGUAAUUAAAGCUCAGUUAAAGAACAAGUUUUGCAAAGAGAUUCAGCUAGCUUUCAAGUAGAACGUGCUCAAGAUUACUUUUAAAAACAAAUUAUUCAGGACAGCGGGGGUUAUUUGUGUUUGUCAGGAGCCUGGGAAGCAUUUGCACAAACACUGGUCUGAGGGCCAGAACUACUGUUUCUUAAUCUUGUCUUUUAACCUAAGUCUGUUUCCACCACUGGAAAAUCCAUUUCUCUUCCUGCUUCAGCUUCCCCUGCUUUUAAGUCCUUCUGUUUUGGUCCUUCCAGGUGUGUGGGUGCAUGCAGGGAUGAAGAUUAGCCAAAUAUACUUCUUUAAGAGUAAAUCUUGAAUUGGCUUUAAAAAAUCUGUUGUUGCUGUUAAUUUUAGAUGCUGGUUGGAAAAUCCGGGUUCAUUUCUACUCAGACUUUCUUCUCUUCAGUUCCUCAUCAGUAUAGUGGAAGGUGGACUUGUUUGAUCAAGAAAAAAUUCAUCAACAUAGGAUUAUUUUAAAAAAUAUAAUUUAAAAUAUAAAUUACGUAUAUAAUAAAAAUACAAUAAAUUUAAUUUGGAAUAAAUUUGCUGACAAUUACAGUCAAUUGGACAUGCAGAGGAGCAUUGCAAUUAAACAGUAUUAAGCAGGUAUGUCAAGUAAAAUGCAAGUAAUGUGUGGCACAGCUUAGUCACCGAGCUCAGAAUUUGGGUCUGACAGCCUUGGUGUGUGUCUGUCCUCCUGUGUGUUUGUUGCCAUCUGCAGUCAUAUUCAGUUUCUGGCCAUGAUGUUCUUGUCCUGUUGGUGUGCCCUACUUAAAUAACUCCUACGUACAUCUCCAGAUGGGAUGUUCUGCUGCUAUUGUAACUAGACCUAUAAACACAUUCUAGACUUAAUUGAGAAGAAUAUCUCCAGUCUUCCUGGUAUUUGUCUCAGAAACCCUUUGCUUUCUCAGUGUGUCCUUCAGUGAAAUUGAAUGUUCAUAAGCAGCUUCUCAAUAUUAGCCUUUUUUUCUAUAGGCUGUCUACAAGGAAAGCAGUUGAAGUAUAACGUUGAAUAGUAUGGCACAUUGAGCUAUUUGCUGGGGGAAACUUCACAGCUGAAAGUGCUCUUGUGAUCAGAGUCAGUUUGGUGGGACAGCAGGUAGAGAACACAGCAUCUUGACAAGCCCUAGGCAAACAUCUUAGAUAACUCUUUCCCUUUCUCUGAUUUAUUUUGCUCACAACACUCUUCUCAGUUCCUUCUUCUGUAUCCCAGGCUGUUACCCAUCAUCCUUUGGUGGCCCUAUCCGUCUCCAAGGUCCGAGAGGUUGCCAUGAGGCUGGUGCUGUAGCAGUUUGUAGUUUGGCUCGCGUGGCUCUUGACACAAGUGAUGAAGUAAGACACUGCAUACAGUCAACCACUCAUUCUUCUUCUGGACUUGUAAAUCUUGUCUAUCCUGUGAGUCUUGAUGGGUUUUCUUUUGCUCACAGUUUUGAUGACUACAAACUUCGGAGGAAAUAUGGUUUAUGUUCCCUGACCCAUGCCUCUAAAAGCGUAAUACCAAGUUUAGUCCCCUUCUACCUUAUCAUCUUUUUUUUUUUUUUUUUGAUCAAAUGGUAAGCUACUGGACAUAGCUAUUUUGUGAUGUGAUGUCUUCUAUUUUAUAAAACAGUGGCUCUUCACCAUGCCUGGGGGAGGAAAACCCAUUCUAUGUCCUCUGUAGAAAAAGCAAUUGAUUCUGAAGCGCUCCUCAAGAACAUCCUUUCCUUUGCUUGUUGGCAGUGUCCAUGUAUGGCUGUUCUCCUGUGUGUCUAGUGAUGUUUUUGCCCCGAAGUGAGGUUCUGCUGAAGGAUGCAGCUGUAGACUUGAUAUGUUUUUCUGUUUGGCUGUAGCUGGAAGAGGACUUGUUUGUGGCUAUAGGAUGAGCAGAGUCUAAGAACAGUUUUUCCAAUUCCCUGGUCCAAACUGAAAAAGGACUUGCCUUUCCUAAUGUGAAUCCACAUUUGAAUAUGCAUGCAGGAGCAACAUAUUUUAUUGCUCAGUUAUUCAGUUUUUAAGGAGCAACGUCAACACUUUUCCAGCUCCUACAGUAUUUGACUUAAGAAAAUUUCAGACCUCAGCAACAUUCUUUUUGAAUUUUUUUUCCGAAUUUGCUGAUAAUAUGCUUACUCUGUAAUUCCAUUUUAAAAAAGCCUUUUAGUCUAGGAAUUUCCUUGUCUGAUUUGCCUCAGACUUUCCAGAAAUAUUCUACCUUGGCAUAAAGUUUGCACCUGUGGAAGUUCAGGGAAAUUGGUUUAGCUUUUUCUAAAUGAGGAAGGGCUUCUGCCAAAAUUGGGCUUAUAAUGAAAGGCUGGUUUAAAUAUGGACAGACGAGUCUCUUCAUAAUUAUUAGGUAACGUUAAUGCAUCAUCAGGCCUGUAAAGAAAAAAAAAAAAAAAAGACUAAGUGGACUUUAUCUUGCCUAUAAAAAUGAAUUUUUGUUUCUCGUUUGGCAAGUCGGGAGAAUGUUUGCUAUUAACCCAUCUUGUUUAAUUUUUUGAGCUGCCGCUUGUGUGCAAGUUUCCUGUACAUCUUAAAAGCAUGUAAAAGAUGAACAAAGAAGGAGGGGGAAGGUCAUAAAUGGAUCCAUGUGACUGCCUCUUCCCCAGGCAUUUUUUCCCCUCGCUUAAGAUGUUUGGAGGGAAUGCAGGGCCAUGCAGUGUUUGUGAAAGCUGAUGGAACAUCUUCCUCCCUCGGGGUAUUUCUUCAAUCAAUGUUUCUUUAUAGCAUUAGGUCAUCUCCUCUUUUUUUUUAUUUUUUUUAUUUUUUUCCUGAAGAAUCCUUGUUUUGUAUGUUUUCAUGCAUCCUGACAUUUAUCCUCAGAAUUAUGGCCUGAUCACUUCCUGUCCUUUUCCUCAAAAUUUCUCUCGUUUUAUCUAUUUUAAGUGCUGAAGCACAAAGAUAACCCCAUCAUAGUUCUCUCAUUUUCCCCAGUGCUUCACCCUCCCUUCCCUCCCCGCGAUGAAAAAUGAAAGGUCUCAUGGUCUUACAGAUUUUCUUUAUGCUUAUUUUGGCCUAUUUGCAACCCAAAUACAUCACUAUAAGACGGCUCUCUAAGGCUCUUGGAUCAAUUAAAGGUAGCCCUAUUCAUUGCCAGUACAAACCUUUGCCUAUUAACUCUUUCAAAGGGCAUUUGUCAUCGCAAAAAGCUGUGAAUGCUGUCUGGGUUCAUUGAUUAAAAAAAGGUAUUGUUUUAAGGCUGCUGAAUAUCUUAAUUAGUUGUAAUCAGAGGGUAGCUUGUGCCUGUAAAGUGAUACAGUUACCUUUCACCUACUUGCUUUAUUUUGAGCUUUUCAAAAGAAAAAUAUCUCAUGUAAUUUGAGCGUAGGGUUUGUAGGCUAGAAGAGGAGUGCACUUGCCGAUCAAAGCAUAAUUUAUUACAUUAUUUCAUAAAGCCAAAUAGUUAAUAUGCUAAGUUGGAGGGCGUCUCGUUGGCCUACGACCAGCCAUGCGAGGGCAAGCGGAGCAGCGCUGCGCGUUGCCAGCUAUCAUCCUCCUUUCUUCAGUCAGAAAUCCAGCGUCUGUAUUCUGGAAGUGUAGAAAUCCACCCCAAUUCUGCAAGCACCCGCACGUGUGCUUAGCUAGAGCACAUGAAUGGCUCAUUAAUACGGAGUAUGUAUGGCGCUGUCUGCCAGACCAAGGUAGAACAGGGAAACGUUUUUUAGACCACUGGUUCAUUUGCUGCAAUUGUGGCCUCAAACCGUUUGCAGCCAUUUGUGAAUUUGUACCAAAACCGGGAAAUUAUUUAAGCUGGGAAAAUAUCUUUUCUGCUGUCCUCUGAAUCAAAACAUUUCUUUCAGUGGUUAAUAAUAAAAGUCUGUUUCCUGUUUGAAGAGACUCUUCUGAAAAUUACAAUCCACGCUUUUCCUUGGGCUUUAUGAAAAGCUUUGGUUGUAUUUGAUGCUGUUUUGGUUUAUUUUUCUGAGAAAAUAUUUUGUAUUUCCCCUAAAACAUUUCACUCAGAGCAAAUAGAUAUUUAUGUACCCCUGACAGAGUGUCUGGGCUGUAAACAGAUCCUGUCCAGUCACAGGUCUCAAUGAUGCACCAGAAACUUGCAUAGGUUGACCCUCACUCUCUGGUGAAGCACUUCCAGAGAUGAUGGAUUAGAGAUAAAUGCUUUUCUUUCUGUGGUUGUGCAAAUAUCUUCUUAUAGAGAGGAAAAAUGCACCUGACAUAAAAUCUUAAGUCAUGGUUGGUAGAAAUAUUUGCUUUUGCUCUUGAAUAAGAUACUGGGUAGGGGAAUAGUCAGACUAGAUGGCCUUAGUGGUCUUUUCCAAACUUGAUGAUUCUGUGAGUAGAUGACAAUUUAUUUUGGGAAAGGGACACAAAUGGCAUCUCAUGGGGAGACUCCAUUAUCUGGGAGAAAAAGUCUUUAGAAGAUGCCUUACAGGUUAACCAUGUAUACUGAGUUGCUGGUGCCAAUUGGUCAUCUGGAAAGCAGGGCAAUGCUGUACCUGGGAACUACGGGACAUGCGAAUCCUUAACACCUGCUCUCAGCUUACAGUUUGCUUGGUAGCUUCUAUUGUAAAAAAAAUGCAUGCAUGCUCGUACACGGAUUCUCGAGGUAAUGUGGCAAAGUUACACAAAUGCUAGCACUGCUAUAUCCAACCUCUUAUUUUUCACUGAAUAAGUAUAGUGUAUAACGUCUCCCUCGCAGGGCAACUUUUCUAUAGUUGCCUGAGUUCAUCUCAAAGUACUUUUUGGGAAGUAUUUGUAGUACUUCAUGUCCUUUUAAGUAUUUUUUUUCAAAAUAAAAAUACUUCAGGAGGACUAGUUCCAACUUCAGUUGACUGUACAAUCAUGUCUGUUUCAUGGAUGUGGAAAAACAGCCUGAUAGAGAUUAAAAUCCUAAUUCAAGAAAAUGCAAAAAUUUAAGCACGUGUGUUAAUGUUCCUGUGAUUUUGGCGUAAACUGUUCUGAAAAGUUUUCCUGGGAUGCUGUCAGAGGCAAAAAUAGAAUACGCAUUGGAGUUGCAGACAGUGCCUCAGUCGCAGUAUAUGUGAACGUUAGAAAUUUUCUUUCUUACUUAGUAAUAAAUGUCGGUCUUGACAUGGUCGUUUGGAGGGGAGUUUAUUUUAAUCGUUGGUUAUUUAAUUCAGUGAUUUAUACGCUACAAAAAGAUAAUCUUGGUGUGAAGAUCAAUGCUGUUCUAACAUUUUUCUUCAGCUUUUAAUGUUUUCACAGAAUUGUGCAGUGCCUUUUCUUUGAUCAAGUGCUUUGGAAAUAAAUUUGAGGAAACAAAAAAUGCCCAUUUCUACUGUAACUCCGACGUGCAUAUGAAUUAAUAUAUAAUAGUAUUGUGUGUCUUUCUCUAUAGAACAUUUUUAGGUGUCUGUAGAACUAGGAGAUGAUUUAUGAAGUGUGACUCAUUUUUCCUUCUUCACACUGUUCCACUGGAAGAACUCGGACUGCGAUGAGAAAAACUAGUACACGUUAUUAAGAAUUCCGAUAAAGUAGGCUGAAUAAAUUUGUUUUCUUUGUGAGCCUUAAUCCUGUGUUGUAUUGGCUUCUUGGACAUGGCUAAUUUAUUUGGAAUUCCAUUCUGUUCCCGACAGCAUUCCUGAUUAGCAGUUUGAUCACCCGGAGCAAAGUUACAUACCAGCUUUCAACUCUUGUAAUCUAGCAGUGUAAUUUUUUCAAAUGGGCUCUUUUCUUUCCUUCUUUGCCCUAGCUCCCCUUCUUUAUAUGUGCAAAGAGACUUUAAAAGUAAGCAGGAUAACCUGUUAGUAGACUGAAAAAUUUGUACAAAACAUAAUACAGUUUGCUGAAUGCCCAACUUGUGUCUGGCCACAAAGCAUCUGAUGUAAAGUUCAGACGGGAAUAUAGAAACUUCCAAGAUCAGUCAGAUCAGUGAGUGUUUAUUGUGAGUUCAGGAUUUUGUAGCUAUCAAAAUGCGAUUUAAGAAAGCAGACGUUUAAGGAGAGAAAGCCAAAGCGUAAAGUAAAGCUCAAGCCAUGCAGUCCCACACCAUUUUUUGAUUUAGUGUGAUACGAUGGUAGCUCUGAUAAUUUUCUACUGCUCACAGAGCUUUAAGCAAUCAGGGUAAGCUUUUCUUAAAGUUCAGCACGUGUUCAGCAUGGACCUAGUUGAAUGCAGCCAUGUUUUUGGCCGUGUCUUUAAAGUUUCCAAGGCUCUGUUAAUUUCCAAGUAAAGCUGUGUGAGAAAUAUUUUAACUUCUCCUUUCAAAUAAUGUGCUUUGAUUUUCUUAAGCAGAAACGUAAGAUCUGGAGUUGUGCCAGUCCAGUUCCAAUAUGCAAAAUAUUUGCCUUCGAUCACUUGUAAAGGAUAGAGAUUUUUCAAUGAUUGCAUUUCAUGAGUAUUGUGGCAAUGCCUUCAUGUCCCUCCCAUGAUCUGUAGUUUGUCAAAGCACAUUCUGCAUGUGGUAGGUUUUAGAAACUUGUAUGUUUCAUGGCUAAGUUUGUGAUACACUGGACCUUAUAUGGAAAUUGCAGUCGCAUCAUUUUUUGCUUCUAUCAGUGUUGUGUUAUGCUGUCAAAAUGAAUAAUGACUGGGAAACCCCAAAUGAAUUGUAAAACAGAGCCAGGUUUUGAUCUGAUUUCUUUUUGGUGGAGCACAGGAGGAGCAUCCUCACAGUGAAAUGUGGAAAUGCUGGAUUUAGCAGCCCCCUCUGUGAGUGUACAACAUGCUGAAGACACGUAGUUAAAGGUGAGAGGGAACUGGGUUUUCCUAUCUGUGACAUUUCUUAGGGUCCCGGUCUGGUUUUGUGCUCAGUGAGGAGAAAGAGAAGUUUUUAAGCCAUGAGAGACUUGGGAAUAAAACAAAGAGAGGUGUCCAUGGAACUAAUCAAGAGACUCAAAAUAGUGGUUUUAUGUAUGACUGACUUGGCUGCCUACUUAUAAAAGCUUGAUCUGUCUUUCAGCUUUCUUCUGAUCUUAAAUUUUAUGGAUCUGAAGGACAGCUCCUGACAAAUUUUUCAUCAAAGCUGAAGCAUGUUUUACCAGACUUUCUGCUUUUGAAAAGCUGGCAGCUCAGUUGAAAGAGUUUAGUCAAAAAUAUUAAAAAUAAAAGUAGUUAAAUUGCACAGAAUCACAGAAUAUCAGGGAUUGGGAUGGACCUCAAAAGGUCAUCUAGUCCAAUCCCCCUCCGGAGCAGGAACAAAUUCUCUAAUGGAUUGCUGCAAUACCAUUAAUUCAAUGAAAAAAAAUCACGAAAGGAGAACUGAGAAGGGAUGGUUUAGGUCUAGAUCCAUUCUAUGCAAUUGCAUUCAGUGGAAAUUCCUUAAUUUCACCAGGAAAAAGUCCGGAGGAUAUUUCUGAGCAAUAAAAUUGCACAACUAACCAAGUGUGAAGACGUAGCAAGUUGUGUGGGGUCUCUUGCAAGUGAAGAAGAAAAUGGAUAUAACUGAUUGAUAAUUAGCUAUUUUAAUGUUUGUAAUGUGAAUUCUAAAUAUUUAUGUGAGUCUUUCAUCCUGUGAAUGACUAAACAUUUUUUGUAUUUUUAUACUUGUUCGUCAAGUAUAAAAGGAGGUAGUUGUUUUAGAUAUCAUUAAUAUUUUAAUUUGGUGGUAUGGUUAAAUUCCAUGGCAUAUACACAAACUAUUUUAUUUCUUCUAAAUCAUGUGCUGUUUAUGCUUCUGGAGAGAAAAUUCUGUGAAAUGAAGAGAAAUAAAAUACCUGCUACUGAGCAUUGCAGUGUACAGACACUUGUGAAGGAGAUAACGCAUUGACAGAUCCCCAACUGGGAAGAUCUCAUUCAGUCUUCUUUAAAAUGCAGAUCUCUUUAGGUGAUCAUUUUUAAGACAGAUUUUUAUUAUUAUUCUAAAUCUUACUUGUGACUCUGAGGCCUUGAGGAGGGUGAUGAAUUUGAGUUUUACAAGCACUCAGUUUUAUGGACGCUGAAGUUACUCAUAAGGGAGGAAAUACACAGUAAAUGGUAUCUUACUUCUGUCCUUGUACUUCUUGAUCAUGGAAAUGGGCAUAGUGAACUAACUGUGGUGGGAAGAGCAUGUUUGCUGGGGACUUUCCAGUAGAAAACCAGUGGGGCAGGUGUUGACUCAGUGCAACGCUGAAAGAUCUUGAUAUGUGCUCAUUAUCACAAGGUGUUUCAAGCAGGAAUUGACAUUGAAUGUCAGAUUUUGUCCUCUAAUGCGAUGAAUACCUUGAAUUGGUUCUUUGUAAGUGGUGGUUCGUUUUCACUGUGGUGCAGAAUGCUUGUUCAGGAGAUUUCAUGUAUGUAAACUGGACCAAGGUGCCUUUUUCACUCUGAUAACUGCAGCAGGCACAUGACCGAGAGAUAUACCGACUUUUAAUGUGUGGAAAACACAAAGACAAGGUGUUGCAUCUCAUGAGGCUACCCCAAUCAAGGCAAUGGAGAUAAAAAGCCCCUCCAGUGUUGUUUCCUGCAAAGACCAUUCUUAAGAGCUCGUUGGACAGCGCAGGGCUCUUGAAGUGAUAGCUAAUUGGUGAAAGAAAGGCCCCGAUUGUCUGGAGGGAGCUGGAAAGUGCUGCGUGUGCUGCUGAAAGGGACUAGGGAGAAGGUGCCUGGUUUCGCUGAGCAGCUGCUGCUGGAGAUGUUUGGAGAUUACAUCAGCAUUGGAAAAAAGGGGCAAAAAAAAAAAAAAAAAAGUCCAACUUCACAGAGACGGAGUUUAUGGAGUUUUUUUUCCCCUUCCAAAGGUCUUCUGACAAUACUGUCAUUGUCAAUAUAAGAGUUGUUAAUUCUUCAUGAAUAGCACAUGGGGCCUCUUGACUAAAUGGUACGUUACAUGUCCCAAAUCUGUCAGCUGGGCUCUUCUCUCACAUGCUAGUGAGAUCACUUUGAUUGGAAUGUUACAGGAAUUGCUGGGCUGGCCGUGCAGAAUUGAAUGCUGCAUUAUAUAAUUAGAUCUCCCGGAGUAUUUUUUUGGCGUUACCUCAUUAUUCUAGCUUAAAUAUGGAAUCAGUUCUUUUGAUGACUUUACUGGUUGUAAUUAUAUUAAUACGAUUCGUUUUAUGGUCCUGUCUUAGUGCUUAUAUAGAUUACAAACUGUCUCGAAGGUUUCCUGACAGUAAAAAAGAGCUCUAAAAGAGCUCAAAAGGCUUCUUCAGAUUUCAGCUGACAACAAGGACAACUGGAUGAGGUAAAUGGACCCAGAGCAGAUUUUACUUUGGCCUCUGAGGAGAGAGCAAUGGCCGGUUGAGACUGCAACUCAGUGAAGGUCCUUCAGAAGGCCUCAUGCUGACAGAGAGGGAAUAGAAACCACAACAACUGAUUGAGUCAAACGACUUCCUAUCAGACUGGAGCAAGAAUUUGUUGUUGGGAACAGGGUUGUGGACGUUUGCCAGUUAAACGAUCUGGACAAGCUGGAAGGAAUCCUAUUGUUGGGCAGUCCAAGGCUGUCAGUGGCCCAGUCUUGCUACGUGAAAUGUGAUGGCCCAUUGCCUGCUGGACAAGCUGCUGGUCUGCACGUUAGGAUGUCAGCUGCACACCCUGCCUGGAUGCAACAACGGACUGUGCCUGAAUGAACAUGGAGAUUACUAACCCAGCUCUGGAUCCACAUCUAAUGCUGCUGAUUUGCAGAGUGGAUUUGUACAUGAUUGACUUGUUGCUAAAUUCCUCUUGUGGUUUCUAUCAGUCAGUCAGAUCAGAAGCUGGUUAUAACCCAAUGAUCGCCUUUCCUGUCAGACGGUAUAUCUGAGUAACAGAAGUGGUUGGACACCACUGGGUUAGUCUGUUCCAUGAAAAACAGAUCUGUGUGUUAUAGUUUGUCGGACAGAUUCCAGCUCUGCUUCAGCAGUGCUGGGCGUUGGGGCACAUGACAGUGCUUAGAGGCCUCGCAAAGUAAUUUCUCUUCUAGUCUUUAGUAAGGAGCUACCAGGACAUGGAAAGCCUUGACUACUCACCCAAGGCAGGAGUGACAGGAGAUUUUUCGCUUAAUCUUGCAAAGUGAGACAGGGGGCUCCAAGCUAACUGUCUGCUUUCAGAUGGAUGCUAUACUGAGUCAAACUGCAAAAAAUCUUGCUGCGUGUGCAACGCAAUUUAACAUCUGCUUUUAAAAACUUGGUUUUCCUACAGCAAAAGUAGGAAAAUUGUACUGCUUUGCCUGAGAAAGAAAGCUGAAAUGUGGCGUUGUUGGCCCAGUCCUAUCUGGUGUUCUUUAUGUCAUGCAGAAGUGAAGGCUGCCACUUUGAGAAAUGGCUUCAAAAAUCUUGGUAGCUCACGUAACACCAGAAUUCAGCCUAGGUGAAAGCCCAAAGCAUUCCCAUGAAAAGUUUUUGGCCAUUCAUGACUCUUAUAGGCUUGUUCAUUAGUAACUAUUGAUGUUUAUCACUUUGUCAUUUGAAGCCUCCUAACAUUCAGACGUGAGAUAUAGUAUGUAUUCAUACAGUUGAACAGAAUAAAUGUCAGACUGAUUGAUUUCAGUCUCAGGCUUUAUUUGUGAUAGAUGACCAAUCUACAAAACUGUUUGCAGUGUCUGAAAAUGCAUGCUAUUGACUUGAAAUCCAGCUAGUAAAUAAAUUAAAUGUAGAUGCAACUAAUGCCCUUGUCUGUCUAUGUGGGUCCUAAUUUUAGUGAUGAUUCUUAUAUUUAUUUAUUUUUGUUUCCCAGUACCAGUAGACCACAAAGGGAAAAUGAAAUGUCUAUUUGCUGUGCAAACAUAGCUCUGAUAAUAAGUAACUGGAAAAAUAGGCACAGCAAUCCAUUUUCUGUCAGUUAAACAUCGCUAUUCUUAGCUGUUGUACAUCACUGUGAAGAAAAUUAAACUUGUAGAGAAAUUCAUAGUGCUUUUAAAAGCAAGUCUUCUAAUCCAUUCUUUUGAUUAUAUUGAAGUGAUACUUAAAAGUGUCAUACUCAUAUUAAUCAUUUAAAAACGUGAAUGUAACGAGACAUGUGGACUAAUGUCUUUAUCAUUUGGUGAAAUAAGGAGCUGACAUUAGUGUGGAACUCGCAUCUUUGAUCCCUUUAUUCCCACAGAGUAGAAUCUUGAAUUUUCCAUGUGAAUUGGAGACCGUGGUCUUGUUAUAGACCAUAAUCUUAUGUAGGCCAAGUCUUCAUUGAUUUCUGUGGCACCAUUAGUAGGAAUGGCAGGAUGGAAUCAUUAGAACAUUUCAUGUUUGAGUUGCCAUAGCCAGUCUCCUUCAAUGGCUUGCUAUUGGUGUGUGGGGAAAGUGAACUUACUGACGGGUAGAUGUAAGGCAUAGUAGGUAUUUAUCCUGUAGGUGAUCACUGUCAUGAAACUCAGCACAGCCAGAUAUGGGAACAGCCUGUCAAUUCACUGGUUCUGUUUGUGUUUGUCUUUUUAAAUUGUUUAAUUUACCCAAGAUAUGAGAACUUCACUGAUUAUGUUAUGGUCAGUGUUUGUCAUAGUGUUGAUCUUCAUCCUACACAGGUAAAACUGUCUGGAACCCUAAAGAGUUUACUAGAACAUCAAAGCUUUGAGGCACAUAUGAUUAAUAAAGUAAAUAUUUUCUCUUAAUAAAAAAUUUACUGAUUUAAUGUGGUUGUUUUGUAAUCCGUGUGCACUGAAUGUAAUUUUAAUGCUUUGAAGUUCCUCUUCUGUUGUCUGAAAGCCCAUUGUAUCUUUCUGCUGAUGAGGGUUGUUGUGACAGAACUUAUGGUGUCCUCUAAUUUAACCAUCUGUCCAAGCUAGAUUGUCAGUACGCUUACAAGUUAGUUUCUCUUUACAUGAAAGUGCAGCAGAAGAAAAUGUUAGUGAAUAAAUCCUUUGUAUCAUGUACUUGUACUUUAUUUAAGAUCUACCCUGAAGCCAUAUUUCAGUGGGAGUU
ensembl:lncRNA